rnacentral:rRNA from 1 species
AACGAACGCUGGCGGCAGGCUUAACACAUGCAAGUCGAGCGCCCCGCAAGGGGAGCGGCAGACGGGUGAGUAACGCGUGGGAAUCUACCGUGCCCUACGGAAUAGCUCCGGGAAACUGGAAUUAAUACCGUAUACGCCCUACGGGGGAAAGAGUUAUCGGGGUAUGAUGAGCCCGCGUUGGAUUAGCUAGUUGGUGGGGUAAAGGCCUACCAAGGCGACGAUCCAUAGCUGGUCUGAGAGGAUGAUCAGCCACAUUGGGACUGAGACACGGCCCAAACUCCUACGGGAGGCAGCAGUGGGGAAUAUUGGACUAUGGGCGCAAGCCUGAUCCAGCCAUGCCGCGUGAGUGAUGAAGGUCUUAGGAUUGUAAAGCUCUUUCACCGGUGAAGAUAAUGACGGUAACCGGAGAAGAAGCCCCGGCUAACUUCGUGCCAGCCGCCGCGGUAA